CGUUUUAACGCUCGGCUNGUNUGCUUAACNCAUGCAAGUCGAACGGUGAACACGGNAGCUUGCUCUGUGGGAUCAGUGGCGAACGGGUGAGUAACACGUGAGCAACCUGCCCCUGACUCUGGGAUAAGCGCUGGAAACGGCGUCUAAUACUGGAUAUGUGACGUGAUCGCAUGGUCUGCGUCUGGAAAGAAUUUCGGUUGGGGAUGGGCUCGCGGCCUAUCAGCUUGUUGGUGAGGUAAUGGCUCACCAAGGCGUCGACGGGUAGCCGGCCUGAGAGGGUGACCGGCCACACUGGGACUGAGACACGGCCCAGACUCCUACGGGAGGCAGCAGUGGGGAAUAUUGCACAAUGGGCGCAAGCCUGAUGCAGCAACGCCGCGUGAGGGACGACGGCCUUCGGGUUGUAAACCUCUUUUAGCAGGGAAGAAGCGAAAGUGACGGUACCUGCAGAAAAAGCGCCGGCUAACUACGUGCCAGCAGCCGCGGGGUAAUA
rnacentral:rRNA from 1 species